rnacentral:rRNA from 1 species
GGGGGGGGGGGGGGGGGGGGUGAGGGGGGGCGGGGCGAGCGGGGGGGGGCGGGCUGGCUGGGGUGGAUCGGUGGCGGACGGGGGAGUGACACGGGAGCAACCUGCCCCAGACUCUGGGAUAAGCGCUGGGAACGGCGUCUAAUACUGGAUACGAAACUGGCCCGCAUGGGCAGGGUUUGGAAAGUUUUUCGGUUUGGGAUGGGCUCGCGGCCUAUCAGCUUGUUGGUGAGGUAAUGGCUCACCAAGGCGACGACGGGUAGCCGGCCUGAGAGGGCGACCGGCCACACUGGGACUGAGACACGGCCCAGACGCCUACGGGAGGCAGCAGUGGGGAAUAUUGCACAAUGGGCGAAAGCCUGAUGCAGCGACGCCGCGUGAGGGAUGACGGCCUUCGGGUUGUAAACCUCUUUCAGCAGGGAAGAAGCGAAAGUGACGGUACCUGCAGAAGAAGCACCGGCUAACUACGUG